UAGGUGUGAGCCCCCCCCCACCUCCUGCACCGUCCUGGGACCACUGGGAACCUGUCUGCUCCCAGCGUAGAGCCCUGAGAGUUGCUCUAACUUGCACCGGCUGCUGGUAGCCCAAAGGGACCAUUGCAGCAGCUAGGAAUAGCCACGAUGUAGAAGUGCCCCCUGGUUCCCAGCCCUUCCCUUCUCUUCUCCAUGGUUCCCUGUAGUAGGAGGGGAGAUAGAGCUGGCUGGACUGACUCAACCUGCCAGGGACUUCCCCCUAUGCUGGAGCAACACCCCAAGGCCGAUCCAGCUGUUUUACAGCCCUCCCCUCGGGGCAGCUCUGAAGUGGGCCCUUAGAAUUUCCACACUCCAGGGGAGCAGCGAGUAGCAUUUUGCAAGGCUGCGCUGGAGCGUUUGUGAAGCGCCAACCAGGAUGUAUUACACUUCUGUGCAGUCACAGGACGGAGAAAAGAUUUUGAACAUUUUCUUUGCAACCCCAAGGACUAUAAACUUCCUUCUUUUAAACAAAAACUUUAAUUCUUCAGCCCAGUGUGGGGAAAGGAGUGUCUUGCUAAGCUGCCGCAAGUGGGCCCUUGCGAUGAAGUGACUGUUGGCCAGUGCGGAGUGUGGUAUUUCCAGCUGCAGUUGCAAUGGGAAGGCUGGUAGGGAAGCAGCAAGGGCACCUCCUUGCAUGCCUGCAUUGGGGAGACAGAUUCAAAUCAAUAUGGCAGGAGACAGUGGAGUGCCUGAGGAGUGGCAAACCAAUCAGUGCUGCAGGCACAGGAAGUUACUCUGAAGUGGACAAAAACCAGAGAGGAAUCUCAUGGGCCUGGUUGCUUCCCCCUGUCCCGUCUGACAAGCACCUGAU